rnacentral:rRNA from 1 species
GACGAACGCUGGCGGCGUGCUUAACACAUGCAAGUCGAACGGAAAGGCCCCUUUGGGGGUACUCGAGUGGCGAACGGGUGAGUAACACGUGAGUAACCUGCCCUUGACUUCGGGACUACUUCAGGAAACUGGGGCUAAUACCGGAUAGGAUUCCUUGCCGCAUGGUCGGGGGUGUAAAGCUUCGGCGGUUUUGGUUGGACUCGCGGCUUAUCAGCUGGUUGGUGGGGUAGUGGCUUACCAAGGCUUUGACGGGUCGCCGGCCCGAGAGGGCGACCGGCCACAUGGGGACUGAGAUACGGCCCAGACUCCUACGGGAGGCAGCAGUGGGGAAGAUUGCACAAUGGGCGGAAGCCUGAUGCAGCAACGCCGCGUGCGGGAUGACGGCCUUCGGGUUGGAAACCGCAUUCAGCAGGGGCGAAGCUUGUGGUGACGGUACCUGCAGAAGAAGCACCGGCUAACUACGUG